AGUCACAGAAGGGGGUGAGAAGUGGGAAGAGGGGAUUUGCAUAGAACCUCCAAUUUUCCUUAUUUCCUAGGGAGUUGAUGAUUUCAGCCAAAUAUAAGUCUUAACGUUACAUCUGCAAUGGAAAAACAAGUCAAACUCAGCAAAAAGGAGCCCUGAAGAGACAGAGUUAAGUGCUUCCGUGAUGAGAGUAGAGUUGGCCUAUGCUGUCCCUCCCAGGACUCCUUUACCCAAGAGAAAGAGAGAGUGUGCAUCCAAAGGGGAGUGAAAAUAGAAUAUAAAUAGGGAAAAUAGAACCAUUCAGAGCAGUUCAGGGAUCUUUACUACUCUGACAUGGAAGGAAGAAGGAGGAGAAGAGAAAAGAUGAACGGACCUUGAACCUGGGAUAUCGCUCAUGUGACUGCUACAUUGGUUAUCACAACAUCCUCAAAGAAAAAUGCAUCAUGAAUGGUCUUCAUACCAUCUAACAGAUCCAGUUUACCCUCAUUCCUGUGGCUUUGUUCUGGCUGCUACCUUCACUUGGCAUAUUUCUCCUCCCCUUCACCCUUCAAACCAUGUUUUCUUUCAAGGUCCCCUCAACCCUAAUGUGCACUGUGUCUUUCUGUCCACUCAAGUCCUGGCUGAUCUCUCCCUAUUCACACUUAUGCCACUAUUCUUUUCAGCUCUACCCAUGUGGCGCUUGCCAGAUGAUGUUACCUUUUUUGCUUUGGGAAUUUUGCUUUCCCAACUACAGCACAAGUAGGAGUGGUGUCUUGUAGUACUUUGUGUCUUUCUUCAUGUUUCAGAUGAGUGUUUUCCAUAGAGUGGAGCUCAAUUCCUAUUUCAGAUUUGAGCCAUCAAUGCUGGGCAAUUUCUUCCCAGGUAAAAUGAAGGCAAUACUAAAAUCUACCUCCAGAUGGGACUGUGAGGACCAGAUGAGAUGCUGUUUUAAAGCCCCGAGACCCCAGCACACAGUAGGUCUUCAAUAGGUAUCAUUCCCUUCCCUGUCCUUUCUGGCAAGGAGUUUAGCUUUGACUUAUUAAGGACUCAUAGGCAAGUCAUUUUUUAAUUGUUAUGGGAGGAAAAAAUGGCAUUGCCUUCCUUGUUUUACUGUGGUUUGUGGAAACUCAAAAAAAAGCAGCGUUCGGUUUUACAAUCUCUAUAAAUUGAAUUUCCUGUCUUUUCAGAA
ensembl:lncRNA novel transcript